UGCCGCGUGCGGGAAGAAGGCCUUCGGGUUGUAAACCGCUUUUGUCAGGGAAGAAAAGGUUCUGGUUAAUACCUGGGACUCAUGACGGUACCUGAAGAAUAAGCACCGGCUAACUACGUGCCAGCAGCCGCGGUAAUACGUAGGGUGCAAGCGUUAAUCGGAAUUACUGGGCGUAAAGCGUGCGCAGGCGGUUAUGCAAGACAGAUGUGAAAUCCCCGGGCUCAACCUGGGAACUGCAUUUGUGACUGCAUAACUUGAGUACGGUAGAGGGGGGUGGAAUUCCGCGUGUAGCAGUGAAAUGCGUAGAUAUGCGGAGGAACACCGAUGGCGAAGGCAAUCCCCUGGACCUGUACUGACGCUCAUGCACGAAAGCGUGGGGAGCAAACAGGAUUAGAUACCCUGGUAGUCCACGCCCUAAACGAUGUCAACUGGUUGUUGGGAGGGUUUCUUCUCAUUAACGAAGCUCACGCGUGAAGUUGACCGCCUGGGGAGUACGGCCGCAAGGUUGAAACUCACAGGAAUUGACGGGGACCCGCACAAGCGGUGGAUGAUGUGGUUUAAUUCGAUGCAACGCGAAAAACCUUACCUACCCCUGACAUGUCUGGAA
rnacentral:rRNA from 1 species